rnacentral:rRNA from 1 species
UACGUAGGGGGCAAGCGUUGUCCGGAAUCAUUGGGCGUAAAGCGCGCGCAGGCGGUUCUCCAAGUCAGUGGUGAAAGCCCGGAGCUCAACUCCGGAACUGCCAUUGAAACUGUUGAACUUGAGGACGAGAGAGGUGAGUGGAAUUCCCAGUGUAGAGGUGAAAUUCGUAGAUAUUGGGAAGAACACCGGUGGCGAAGGCGGCUCACUGGCUCGUAUCUGACGCUCAGGCGCGACAGCGUGGGGAUCAAACAGG